UACAGAGGCCUCGAGCGUUAGGCGGAAUCACUGGGCUUAAAGCGUGUGUAGGCGGACUUCUAAGUACCUUGUGAAAUCCCACGGCUUACCCGUGGAACUGCUGGGUAUACUGGUUGUCUUGAGCUUUCUAGGGGCGAGUGGAACAAAUGGUGGAGCGGUGAAAUGCGUAGAGUAUCAUUUGGAACGCCAAUGGUGAAAACAACUCGCUGGGGGAAAUGCUGACGCCUGAGACACGAAAGCCAGGGGAGCGAACGGG
rnacentral:rRNA from 1 species